rnacentral:rRNA from 1 species
UACGUAGGGCGCAAGCGUUAUCCGGAAUUAUUGGGCGUAAAGAGCUCGUAGGCGGUUUGUCGCGUCUGCCGUGAAAGUCCGGGGCUCAACUCCGGAUCUGCGGUGGGUACGGGCAGACUAGAGUGAUGUAGGGGAGACUGGAAUUCCUGGUGUAGCGAUGAAAUGCGCAGAUAUCAGGAGGAACACCGAUGGCGAAGGCAGGUCUCUGGGCAUUAACUGACGCUGAGACGCGAAAGCGUGGGGAGCGAACAGG